UCUGCUAGGAGACGGCGCCGACCUGCUCUGCUAGGAGACGGCGACAACCCGAUAUGUCAUGGUCGUUGGCAACCCGAUCUGCUAGGCAACGGCGACGAGCAGAGGUGCCAGGACGGCGAGGACAGGAUCUGACGGAGACGAUGGCAACGGAGCAACGAUGAGCACUACUUCUGGGACCUGAUUUAUGGGAUUGUUUGCACGUUGAUGAUUCCCUUGAUUGUUUGCAUGUUGAUGAUUUUUUUACCCGUCUGUGUCCUCUCAGUAGGAAAGAAUUCAUUGCAAACAUUCAUUUGAAUAUAUAUAUAUAUAUAUAUAUAUAUAUAUAUAUAUAUAUAUAUAUUUAAGAGACAGCCUCAUCAAUUUUAUAAACAUGAAUUGAACUGGAUUCAUUUCAUACUAUCCCUCAAACCAAACAUUGAAAC
rnacentral:lncRNA from 1 species